CCUACGGGUGGCAGCAGUGGGGAAUGUUGGACAAUGGGCGAAAGCCUGAUCCAGCCAUGCCGCGUGUGUGAAGAAGGCCUUCGGGUUGUAAAGCACUUUCAGUGGGGAAGAAAGCCUUGGGGCUAAUACCCUCGAGGAAGGACAUCACCCACAGAAGAAGCACCGGCUAACUCCGUGCCAGCAGCCGCGGUAAUACGGAGGGUGCGAGCGUUAAUCGGAAUUACUGGGCGUAAAGCGCACGUAGGCGGUCUGAUAAGCCGGUUGUGAAAGCCCCGGGCUCAACCUGGGAACGGCAUCCGGAACUGUCAGGCUAGAGUGCAGGAGAGGAAGGUAGAAUUCCCGGUGUAGCGGUGAAAUGCGUAGAGAUCGGGAGGAAUACCAGUGGCGAAGGCGGCCUUCUGGACUGACACUGACGCUGAGGUGCGAAAGCGUGGGUAGCAAACAGGAUUAGAUACCCCGGUAGUC
rnacentral:rRNA from 1 species